rnacentral:hammerhead_ribozyme from 1 species
AUCCAGCUGACGAGUCCUAAACAGGAUGAAAAGCGAGUCCUAGAU